CAGCCGCCGCGGUAAUACGAAGGGUGCUAGCGUUGUUCGGAAUCACUGGGCGUAAAGCGCGCGUAGGCGGCGUAGCAAGUCAGAGGUGAAAGCCCGGGGCUCAACCCCGGAAUUGCCUUUGAAACUGCUAUGCUAGAGUGUCGGAGGGGAUAGCGGAAUUGCUAAUGUAGAGGUGAAAUUCGUAGAUAUUAGGAAGAACACCAGUGGCGAAGGCGGCUCACUGGUCCGGUACUGACGCUGAGGUGCGAAAGCGUGGGGAGCAAACAGGAUUAGAUACCCCGGUAGUCCCUGUCUCUUAUAC
rnacentral:rRNA from 1 species